rnacentral:rRNA from 1 species
AGAGUUUGAUCCUGGCUCAGGAUGAACGCUGGCGGUCUGCUUAACACAUGCAAGUCGAACGCAACCUUCGGGUUGAGUGGCGGACGGGUGAGUAACGCGUGAGAAUCUGCCUUGGGGUCGGGGACAACCACUGGAAACGGUGGCUAAUACCGGAUAAGCCUUUGGGUAAAAAAUUUAUUGCCCCAAGAGGAGCUCGCGUCUGAUUAGCUAGUUGGUGAGGUAAGAGCUCACCAAGGCAGCGAUCAGUAGCUGGUCUGAGAGGACGAUCAGCCACACUGGGACUGAGACACGGCCCAGACUCCUACGGGAGGCAGCAGUGGGGAAUUUUCCGCAAUGGGCGAAAGCCUGACGGAGCAAGACCGCGUGAGGGAGGAAGGCUCUUGGGUUGUAAACCUCUUUUCUCAGGGAAGAAGCUCUGACGGUACCUGAGGAAUCAGCCUCGGCUAACUCCGUGCCAGCAGCCGCGGUAAUACGGAGGAGGCAAGCGUUAUCCGGAAUUAUUGGGCGUAACGCGUCCGCAGGUGGCGAUUCAAGUCUGCUGUCAAAGCACGGGGCUUAACUCCGUUAAGGCAGUGGAAACUGAAUAGCUAGAGUGCCGUAGGGGUAGAGGGAAUUCCCGGCGUAGCGGUGAAAUGCGUAGAGAUCGGGAAGAACAUCGGUGGCGAAAGCGCUC